rnacentral:rRNA from 1 species
UACAGAGGGUGCGAGCGUUGUCCGGAAUCACUGGGCGUAAAGGGCGCGUAGGCGGCGGGAGAAGUCUGUGGUGAAAGCUCGUGGCUCAACUACGAGUCGGCCAUAGAUACUCGUUCGCUCGAGCACUGUAGAGGCAGAUGGAAUUCCGGGUGUAGCGGUGGAAUGCGUAGAGAUCCGGAAGAACACCGGUGGCGAAGGCGGUCUGCUGGGCAGUAGCUGACGCUGAGGCGCGACAGCGUGGGGAGCAAACAGG